UUCCUGGUGGUUCAAUGGCUAAAACUCCCCACUCCCAAUGCAGGGGGCUCAGGUUCAAUCCCUGGUCAGGGAA
rnacentral:tRNA from 1 species